UACGUAGGGGGCUAGCGUUGUCCGGAUUUAUUGGGCGUAAAGAGCGUGUAGGCGGCCAGGUAGGUCUGCUGUGAAAACUCGAGGCUCAACCUCGAGACGUCGGCGGAAACCAUCUGGCUAGAGUCCGGAAGAGGAGAGUGGGAUUCCUGGUGUAGCGGUGAAAUGCGCAGAUAUCAGGAAGAACACCCGUGGCGAAGGCGGCUCUCUGGUUGGAUACUGACGCUGAUACGCGAAAGCGUGGGGAGCAAACAGG
rnacentral:rRNA from 1 species